UGCGUAGGCGGUUUGAUAAGUCAGCGGUGAAAUAUUUCAGCUUAACUGGAAGGGUGCCGUUGAUACUGUCGAGCUUGAAUUUAGUUGCUGUGGGUGGAAUGUGUGGUGUAGCGGUGAAAUGCAUAGAUAUCACACAGAAUAUCGAUUGCGAAGGCAGCUCACAAAGCUAAUAUUGACGCUGAUGCACGAAAGUGUGGGGAUCAAACAG
rnacentral:rRNA from 1 species